AUACAAUAUAGAACAGCUAGCUCUGCUGAAACAUUAAAAAAAAAUGGUAAAUAGAUGCUAUCAAGCCCUAGGUUAAAAGCACACAAUAUAGAGCUGAUAAGUAGUAAAUUUUAUCAUUUCUCUGUAAUUAUAAAUCAAAAUACUUAUUUAAUCUCACGAACAAAAAGAAAAGGUAAAUAAACAAUUUAAAGCUUUGCAUUGAGCAAAAGAAUAUGAAAUAUUCUAGUUAACGCUAUAAUUCUUUUUAGACUACAAAUAUUAAUGAAAAAAAUAUAAUUAUACUUAAAUUUUUAAUUCGAAAUAUUA